AAAAAAAGGGUGUAUUUUCACACUAAAAAUUCUCUAAAAAAAACUAAUUUUUUUUAAGAAAAAAUUAAAUUUCUCAUCUAAAAGAAACAGGUUCUUCCAUGAUCGUAGCCAACGACGGUUUCCUCGAUCUACACGCCAACCGAUAUUUCAUUUCUCUCUCCACCGGAAAAACCUCAACCUCACCUGAAUCCUGAUCUCCGGCAACAUUAUUUUCCGUCGCCGGCGAAAUCCUACCAUUUCCGCCGGAUAUUCUCUUCGCAGCGGAAUUAGCCGCCAGUAGAAUCACCGUCAUAUCAGUCGCCGUCACAACGGAAUUGACUCUCUUCAUCGGAAACAUAAUAUAAACACUACCAAACUCCAAAUCUUCAUCUGCCGAUAAAGCUGAAAAUCUCCUUCCGAUAUUCAACGAACUCGAAUCAACUAAAAAAUUACUUGGAUACUCCAUCAUGAUCUCUGCUGCUUUAAUCGGUUCUCGAAAUUGCCUGAUUUCACCUCCGGGAAGAACAACUCUCGAUGCUUUUGAAGUUUUAAUUGAUGGUAAAAUUGGGCAUGAAGUAAAAUUUCCCAUAGAAAAUUGAGUUUGAGUUUGAUUCAAUUGAGAGAAUUUUU
rnacentral:misc_RNA from 1 species